rnacentral:lncRNA from 1 species
GGAUUAGGAAGUGGGGCCUUUGGGAGGUGAUUAGGUCAUGAGGGUGGAGUUUUUAUGCAUGGGAUCAUAAGAGGGGCCUUUGAGAGCUCCCCUCUACUUUCUUUGUGAGGUUGCAGUGAAGAGACAGCUGUCUAUGAGCCAGGAAGGUUGCCCUCAUCAGACACUGAGUCUGCAGUUACCUUGGUGUUGGACUUAUCUGCCUCUAGAACUGUGAGAACUAAAUUUCUAUUGUUUACAAACUACUUAGUUUAUGGUAUUUGUUACAGUAGUCCAAGAGGACUAAGACAGAUGUGUUUUGCCAUGCAGUUGUUUUUUACUUCAAUAUGCUUAAAUUCACUUUUGUUAAUGGCUUCUUGAUUUUGUGUCAUAGUCAAAGACCAUCCCUACUCUGAAGUUCUAAAAAUUUGUUUUGUUCUAGUCCUUUCAGUUUUCUUUUUCACGUUUAAAUGUUUGGCCAUUGGAUUUGGCUUCGUGUUAACUGUGAGGCUUUAAUCAUGAGAUGAGUGCUGGGUGUUAUAAUGUAUGUUGACAAAUUGAAUUUAAAUAAAAUAAAAUUAAAAAGUGUGAAGCUUUAAUCCAAAUUCAUUUUUUUUUUCAGAUGGCCACCCAUUUGUCCCAAGAACGUAUGCACUCAUUUAUGAUUUUGGCAUCAGGAUCAUUUCCCUCAACGAUGGUGAAUCUUUUAACAUUCCAGAUGUUACACCUCAAAUUUAUCACCACUUCCUGAACCUUCCCUUCUCUACAAAAUUACUCCUAUAUCCUGUUUCUCUCAUGAUCCAACUCAAAUAUCAUCUCCUCUAUGAAGCCUUUCCAGCUCUCUUAAGAAGAGAAAAACUAAUUAUUGACUUGAAUGUGUAAAGUUGACUACAUGAAAGCUUAAUGGAGAAAUCACCUUAUUAUGCUGGCUUCUCAACAUGUGUAUGAAUAAUGCAUGGAAAUAAAGGGCUAUAAGAGAAACA